UACAGAGGGUGCGAGCGUUGUCCGGAAUCACUGGGCGUAAAGGGCGCGUAGGCGGCCUGAUAAGUAGGGGGUGAAAUCCUGUGGCUUAACUGCAGGGCUGCCUCCUAGACUGUUAGGCUCGAGCACGGUAGAGGCAGAUGGAAUUCCCGGUGUAGCGGUGGAAUGCGUAGAGAUCGGGAGGAACACCAGCGGCGAAGGCGGCGACCUGGACAAGUACUGACACUCAACUACGAAAGCGUGGGGAGCAAACAGG
rnacentral:rRNA from 1 species